GGAUGUUGAGAUGUGACUUCUGAGGCUAUAACAUAAAGAGGACAUAGUUCCUAUUGGGCAUGGUGCUGUAGAUCCAGCUACUAAGGAACAUCACUUGGGUCCAGGAGUUUAAGGCUAGCCUGGGCAACAUAGCAAGACCUUUAUUUGGAGGAAAAAAAAAUCCAGAUAUAGCUUCCUCCUGGCUCUCUGUCUUUCUCUUAGAAUGCUUGUCCUUGGAACUCAGUCACAUGAACAGGCCACAUGCAGGUAUUCUCAUUAAAAACCUGGGCUAAGCCUUGGCCAACAGCCAGUGUUAACCACUGAAUGAGUGAGCAAGUGAGACAGAAUUCAGAUGGUUGUAGCCUGGGGCUCUUGAGUGUCCAGCUGAGCCCCAGAAAUUGGGGAACAGAGCUGUCUGGUGGCAUAUACCUGUAAUCCAGGGACUCCAGAGGCUGAGGCAGGAUUACAAGUUCGAAGCCAGCCUCAGCCACUUAGACCCUGUCUCAGAAUAAAAAAUAAAAGGCUUGGGGAUGUAGCUCACUGGUAAAGUGCCCCUGGGUUCAAUCCCUAGUCCCCAACACCGCAAAAAAAAAAA
rnacentral:lncRNA from 1 species